AAAAGAAUACCGACCACAAGUUAUACAAAAAGAGACUUCAGAGACCACACACAAAAAUAAUGUAGGCUUUACAAAAAUAGUUUAGAAACAUCACUAAGAAAACAACCACAACCCACAGCAAGCAACAAAAAUAAACAACAAAAGGGAACAUAAUCUAAUACAUAGACUUAACCUAUUGUAACAUUCAAAAUUUCCACAUUUCAAAAAAAUAUUAUGAGGUGUGCAAAUGAACAAGGAAGUAUAGCCUAUUCACAAAACAAAUUAGCUAAAAUAUUCUUGAGGAUGCAUAGAUGUUGAGUUUAUUAGACAAAGAUUAGUAAAUCUAUUUUAAAUACACACAAACACCUAAAAGAAACCAGGAAAAGGAUGUUUCAACAAAUAGAGAAUAUAAAUGAAGAGAUAAAAAUUAUAAAAAGGAACCAAGCAAAUUCUGGAGCUCAUAAGUGCACUAAUUAGAAUUAUAUUGAAAAAAUCCAAUAGACAGUUUAAGUAGCAAACCCUCAGCAAGCAGAAGAAGAAAAGAGCAAAUAUGAUGAUAGGACAAACAGAAUGAUCCAAUUUGAGGAGCAGAAAUAAAAAAGAAUGAAGAAAAGUGAACAGAGUUUUGGAGUCCAGUGGGACUCUACCUUUAGACUCAAAGUGAAACAUUGACUUUUCCUGAAUCUUGAGCAUACCACCUUUCAGACUAAAAUGAAACCAUAUGUUCUCCAGCUUGCUGACACACCUUGCUAAUGUUGGGACUUGCCAUCCAUAAAUGUGUGAGCCAAUUCCUUGUAACGAAUUAUAAUUAUAAUAUGUAAAUAAAUCACAAUAUAUAAAUAAAUUAUAACUUCCUCUGAAGAACCCUGAGCAAUAUAACUACUAUAAAAGAAACAGAAAACAAAAACCAAGGAAAUAACAAGUGUUCAGUGAAAAUAUGGAGAAAUUGUACACUUGUAUGUUAGAAUGUAAAUGAUGCAGUUACUAUAGAAGACAGUAUAAUGAUUCAUUAAAAUAUUUGGAAAAACUAUCAUAUGAGUUAGUAAUAAAAAUUCCGAGGAUUCAUAUAGAAAAAGUUCAGAGCAAGAUCUCAAAGAGAGAUAUUAGUAUACCCUUGUUCCUAGUAGCCUUACUCGCAUUAGAUAAAAGAGGAACAACUCAAAUAUCUAUCAAUUGAUGAAUAUAUAAACAAGUGUGGUAUGCACAUAUAGCAUAUUGUCCAAUCUUUAAAAGGAAGAAAAAUCUGACACAUAUUACAAUAUGAAUAAACUUUGAAGACAUUAUAAGGGAAAUAACCCCAUCACAAAAAUAUGAAUACUGUAUGAUUUCAUUAAGAUAAGUAUCUGAAGUAGUCGAAUUCAUAGAGGAAAAAGUAAAAUGGUAGUUACCAGCAACCUGGAGAAAGAGAAAAAUGGAAAUUUUACAGGAUAUAGUGAUUUAGUUUUGCAAGAUGAAAAACUUCUGGAGGUCUAUUUAAAAAUAAUGUGAAUAUACUUAACACUACUGAAGUAUGCAUUAAAAAGUGUUUAAGAUGGUUACACUCAUUCCAUUUGCCACUGACCUUAAAAAAGGUCUACAAAAAUAGUUGGAAACUUUAGUACAAUAGUUUAAUCUACAGAACAACUAGACAGAAGAUAAAUAGAGGAUUUAAACAACACUAUAAACCAACUAGACAUAACAUAUACAGAACAUUCCACACAACAGUACUGGAACACAUAGCUACAGUAUUUUUCUUUUUGUGUUCAUGGUGCUGGGGAUCAAACCCAGGGCAUCACACAUGCUAGGCAAGUGGUCUACAACUGAGCUACACCCCCAGUUAUGGAACAUAUAUAUUCCUCAAACUGCAUAUGGAGCAUUCCUCAGGCUUGACCAUAUGAUAGGACACAAAAGAAGUCUGAAUAAAUUAAAAAUGGAAAUCAUACAAAGUACAUUCAUCAAAUACUAUGAAGUGAAACUAGAAAUGGAUAACAGAAGGACAUUUUAGAAAUUCACAAAUAUGUAGAAAUUAAACAACACAAUCUUGAACCAUCAACAAAUAAUUGUUCAAAAGAGAAAUCACAAGGGAAAUUAGAAAAUACUUUGAAUCAAAUGAAAAUGAAAACCCAACAUACUCAAAACUUAAAUAAUAUAGUAAAAACAGGACUUAGAGGAAAAUUAUAGUAUAAAUGUCUACAUUGAAAAAGAAAUAGUAAGAACUUUGGAUAAGCAAGAUGGUAGAAUAGGGCUUUCCAGUGCUUAUCCACUCACCAGAAACAUCAAUUUGAACUACUACCAAUGCAGGAAAAUAUGCUUACAACAGCCAAGGAAAUCAGAUGUGACUGUUUUCUCCUACCUGUGCUCUCACCAUGACAUGCUACCAUCUCCUGCUCUCACCAGAGGCCAAAACAAUGGGGUUGCUUGAGCUUGGACUUCUAAUUUGCAAAACUGAGUUCACAGUUGAAAGAAUUUGCCUUGAGUCUCAGAUGAGACUUUGGACUUGGAAUUUUGAGCAAGACAGGAACAUAAGACUUUGAGACUCGGGAAUAGAAUUGAUGCAUUUUGCAUUGUGAAAAGGACAUGAGCCCUUGGAGACCAGGAGUGAUAUGUUAUGGUUUAGAUGUGAUAGAAUGUCCACCAAGAGUCCACUGUGAUUGAAGAUAUGGUCUAAGAGGUGGUUCUACUGGGAGAUGAUGGGUCCUUUGGGAGGUAGAGAAGAUCCUUAGAUCACUGUGGGUGUGUCCUCAUGCAACCCCAUCAAUAAUUCUCACAAGAGGAUUGUUAUAAAAGAAGGAAGCCUGGACUCACCCAAUCUCUUUCUCUUUGCUCAUGUUUGAGAUAUGACCUCUUGCUCUUAUAUGUAUUCCCACCAUGAUAUGCCACCAUUCAUAAACUUUACCAGAGGCCAAACUUAAUGGGGUCACACAAUCUUGGAUUUUGUGCCUCCCCAAAUAUAAAUUAAAUAAACCUUUUAUUUUUAUAAAGUUACCUGCCUCAGAUAUUCUGUUAUAAAGAUGAAAAUCUAAUACAAUUGAAUAUUCACAUGUGGAGGAAUA